GACGAACGCUGGCGGCGUGCCUAAUACAUGCAAGUUGAGCGAUGAAGAUUGGUGCUUGCACCAAUUUGAAGAGCAGCGAACGGGUGAGUAACGCGUGGGGAAUCUGCCUUUGAGCGGGGGACAACAUUUGGAAACGAAUGCUAAUACCGCAUAACAACUUUAAACAUAAGUUUUAAGUUUGAAAGAUGCAAUUGCAUCACUCAAAGAUGAUCCCGCGUUGUAUUAGCUAGUUGGUGAGGUAAAGGCUCACCAAGGCGAUGAUACAUAGCCGACCUGAGAGGGUGAUCGGCCACAUUGGGACUGAGACACGGCCCAAACUCCUACGGGAGGCAGCAGUAGGGAAUCUUCGGCAAUGGACGAAAGUCUGACCGAGCAACGCCGCGUGAGUGAAGAAGGGUUUCGGAUCGUAAAGCUCUGUUGGUAGAGAAGAACGUUGGUGAGAGUGGAAAGCUCAUCAAGUGACGGUAACUACCCAGAAAGGGACGGCUAACUACGUG
rnacentral:rRNA from 1 species